UGGUUUGUGAUGAUCAUUGUACAACUAUAAAUGUAAUAAAUUCAUUGAGUAAUAAAAAGAUAAAUAAAAUAAAAAAGAGUUAUGUGUAAAUUGGGAUGGGAGAAGAGAGGAUUAUUGGUAACCAAAACAGGCGAUUUUAAGAUCAAGUGUACUGUCAUUUCGAGGGAAGUGGCUGGGGCUCUCAAUAUGUCUUGAUAAUUGGCUCAUGCACAAGCCCAUGUGACUGUGACGCUUCCUAAGCGAGUGACCAACUCUGCUUUCUCUAGCCUGAGAGAACGCAGCAGAGCCUGGUUAGAGAAGAAUGAAGGAAGACAGAAAAGACACAGCAAGCCCACUUAGGAGGCUACUUCAGAAGCGAAGGUAAACCGUCUCAGCAAGCUGGUCACCAGGACGCAUUCCGCGGAGGUACUGUGCACACAGACUGGCUGCCAUCAGGGAGAAAAAGACAGCAAUGGAGGAGGUCCUCAAAAAACAGAGUAACAUUCCAAGCAAAGAAGAGAGAGUGGAAGGCAGAUGACAGGAUUUGGUCACCAAGAUGGAAAAGCUUGGCAUGUCAGGCUACAGCACGGAAUGUGUGUCCAGGCUUAGCCGAAAAGAUGGACAGGUGUUCCUGAGCCCAGCGACUCUUCUAACUGGCACACCUCUUGCAAAGAACUAGGAAACCACGCUAUGGAGCUGUGACAAUAGAUGA